UACGUAGGGGGCAAGCGUUGUCCGGAUUUAUUGGGCGUAAAGAGCGUGUAGGCGGGAGGCCAAGUCUGUGGUGAAAUCGCUCGGCUUAACUGGGCGGGGUCCAUGGAAACUGGUCACCUGGAGGUCGGUAGAGGCAAGUGGAAUUCCCGGUGUAGUGGUGAAAUGCGUAGAGAUCGGGAGGAACACCAGUGGCGAAGGCGGCGCUUUGGGCCGGUACUGACACUGAGGAGCGAAAGCGUGGGUAGCAAACAGG
rnacentral:rRNA from 1 species